UAGUGCAGACAACAUCCACACUCAGACAGAUGAGAGAGCAGCUCCAUGUGCACAUCAGAGCUCAUCCGACACAGAGAUGAAGAAGAUGAAUGAGCUGGAACCUUCUCAGAGUCUGGAGGCGGACAGAUCUGAGGAUGUUUUUGGCAACUUCACAUGAGAUUCUUCAAUCAGAUGAGAUAGUGCUGGCCUAGGACCUGAAGUGUGAGUUUCAUCUUUCUUCACCCAUGUAAGAGCAUCUCACACCCCACACCGAGAUGACUGAUGCCGCUUUAGUGCGACAGGACUUUCAUCAUCGCUGUCUUCUGCUCCUCAAACUGACAAGAGCUGGAGUCCACCGCAGUGCAGAUGUGUUUGUUUAUUCGUCAGCUGUUCACUAGAGGAUGACCGUAUAGACAGAUUACUCGCUGAUCAGACCCCAGAGCUCACAACCUAAUCACCCUCAGGUCAUCCAAGAUCAAGAUGAAUUUGUUUCUUCAUCCGAUUUGGAGAAAUGUAGCAUUUCAUCACUUGUUCAACAAUAGAUGCUCUGCAGUGAAUGGGUGCCGUCAGAAUGAGAGUCCAAACAGCUGAUAAAAACAUCACAAGUGAUCCACACCUGUCCAUCAAUUAUCAUCUUGUGCAGUGAAAAGCAGCGUGUACAUAAGAAACAAAUCCAUCAAGGAGCUUUCAUUUUAAUUUGUUGUAAACUCAUCUACAUAUAUGCGCUGAACUAUUGUCGAUCUAUAUGGCAAAAGCAGCAAGACUUUGAAAAGGAAUCACACAAGUGUUUCUUUACUGAUUCCAUUGAUAUUAGACAUGUAAUAAAUGUUUCCUCCAUCUUAUUUCCAAAAUAUGUUUCAUACAUUUGUUUGCUGUGUGCAUCUUAUGUAUGACACUAUAUUUUAUGUUUUGGCAUCACAGCAAAUCCUUAAAAUGAUAUUGGUAAUUAACUUAACAUUGCUGCAUUUGUUGAAAAGCUUCUGUGUCACCAUCCUUUGACAAGCAGCAUUGUAAUAAAUAUAUAUUUUUGUCUCA